rnacentral:rRNA from 1 species
CGGGACACGUGGUAUCCUGUCUGAAUAUGGGGGGACCAUCCUCCAAGGCUAAAUACUCCUGACUGACCGAUAGUGAACCAGUACCGUGAGGGAAAGGCGAAAAGAACCCCGGCGAGGGGAGUGAAAAAGAACCUGAAACCGUGUACGUACAAGCAGUGGGAGCACAGAGCAAUCUGUGUGACUGCGUACCUUUUGUAUAAUGGGUCAGCGACUUAUAUUCUGUAGCAAGGUUAACCGAAUAGGGGAGCCGAAGGGAAACCGAGUCUUAACUGGGCGUUAAGUUGCAGGGUAUAGACCCGAAACCCGGUGAUCUAGCCAUGGGCAGGUUGAAGGUUGGGUAACACUAACUGGAGGACCGAACCGACUAAUGUUGAAAAAUUAGCGGAUGACUUGUGGCUGGGGGUGAAAGGCCAAUCAAACCGGGAGAUAGCUGGUUCUCCCCGAAAGCUAUUUAGGUAGCGCCUCGUGAAUUCAUCUCCGGGGGUAGAGCACUGUUUCGGCAAGGGGGUCAUCCCGACUUACCAACCCGAUGCAAACUGCGAAUACCGGAGAAUGUUAUCACGGGAGACACACGGCGGGUGCUAACGUCCGUCGUGAAGAGGGAAACAACCCAGACCGCCAGCUAAGGUCCCAAAGUCAUGGUUAAGUGGGAAACGAUGUGGGAAGGCCCAGACAGCCAGGAUGUUGGCUUAGAAGCAGCCAUCAUUUAAAGAAAGCGUAAUAGCUCACUGGUCGAGUCGGCCUGCGCGGAAGAUGUAACGGGGCUAAACCAUGCACCGAAGCUGCGGCAGCGACGCUUAUGCGUUGUUGGGUAGGGGAGCGUUCUGUAAGCCUGCGAAGGUGUGCUGUGAGGCAUGCUGGAGGUAUCAGAAGUGCGAAUGCUGACAUAAGUAACGAUAAAGCGGGUGAAAAGCCCGCUCGCCGGAAGACCAAGGGUUCCUGUCCAACGUUAAUCGGGGCAGGGUGAGUCGACCCCUAAGGCGAGGCCGAAAGGCGUAGUCGAUGGGAAACAGGUUAAUAUUCCUGUACUUGGUGUUACUGCGAAGGGGGGACGGAGAAGGCUAUGUUGGCCGGGCGACGGUUGUCCCGGUUUAAGCGUGUAGGCUGGUUUUCCAGGCAAAUCCGGAAAAUCAAGGCUGAGGCGUGAUGACGAGGCACUACGGUGCUGAAGCAACAAAUGCCCUGCUUCCAGGAAAAGCCUCUAAGCAUCAGGUAACAUCAAAUCGUACCCCAAACCGACACAGGUGGUCAGGUAGAGAAUACCAAGGCGCUUGAGAGAACUCGGGUGAAGGAACUAGGCAAAAUGGUGCCGUAACUUCGGGAGAAGGCACGCUGAUAUGUAGGUGAAGUCCCUCGCGGAUGGAGCUGAAAUCAGUCGAAGAUACCAGCUGGCUGCAACUGUUUAUUAAAAACACAGCACUGUGCAAACACGAAAGUGGACGUAUACGGUGUGACGCCUGCCCGGUGCCGGAAGGUUAAUUGAUGGGGUCAGCGCAAGCGAAGCUCUUGAUCGAAGCCCCGGUAAACGGCGGCCGUAACUAUAACGGUCCUAAGGUAGCGAAAUUCCUUGUCGGGUAAGUUCCGACCUGCACGAAUGGCGUAAUGAUGGCCAGGCUGUCUCCACCCGAGACUCAGUGAAAUUGAACUCGCUGUGAAGAUGCAGUGUACCCGCGGCAAGACGGAAAGACCCCGUGAACCUUUACUAUAGCUUGACACUGAACAUUGAGCCUUGAUGUGUAGGAUAGGUGGGAGGCUUUGAAGUGUGGACGCCAGUCUGCAUGGAGCCGACCUUGAAAUACCACCCUU